rnacentral:rRNA from 1 species
UACGGGGGGAGCAAGCGUUGUUCGGAUUUACUGGGCGUAAAGGGCGCGUAGGCGGCCACCGCAAGUCACUUGUGAAAUCUCCGGGCUUAACCCGGAAAGGUCAACUGAUACUGCGGGGCUAGAGUGCAGAAGGGGCAACUGGAAUUCUCGGUGUAGCGGUGAAAUGCGUAGAUAUCGAGAGGAACACCAAUGGCGAAGGCAGCUCGCUGGGACGUGACUGACGCUGAGACGCGAAAGCGUGGGGAGCAAACAGG